AACUGCACGAGCUUCCGCAAAAGAGCGGGAACCCUUCCUCAGGCCAAUCUUAACCACAAUGUCAGACUUGGCUUCAGCAAGCGAGUCCCUUAAAUUCUGAGCCUGUGCAGGUGCCUGGGAACCCCAGCCAAUGACACCGAUUUUCUUGAUCCCCUUGAAGGCUUCCGGCAGCAAGGGAAAAAGAUCUCUGCCUCCUCUAACAAUAUACUCAUCAUGACCAGCAAGAUUAACUUUCUCCUUCUUGAAGACAGAUGUGUCAAAAUCGAGAGAGGGUAAGGAUUUGAUCGCAGGAACAGACACCAUUCGAGCACCUAAAGCUGAGCCGACGGCGUUAGCUGCACCAAUACCAACAGCCUUGAGAGCAUUGGAUCCUGAGGAAGAGGAGGACAAAAAACCUAAGGUGGAAGGAGCAAGAGGCUGCAAAGCAACAGCUUGUUUCAGGGUUUUGGUUGAUGAGGCUGAGAUGGAGGGAGAGAAAUA
rnacentral:misc_RNA from 1 species